rnacentral:lncRNA from 1 species
CAAAAUAGAGGGAAAAGGUGGUUUCAAGAGUCUUUGGAAGACAGGCAGACCUUGGCUGCAGGUAUCUGCUGAGUCAAUGACUUGUACUUGGUGUACAGAUGUACACGAAGCACCAAAUUAGUUUUGCUGGACAACAGCAAAAGUCCAGACACUGAAGUCCCAUGAAUCCAGUAAAGCUCACAUCAAAAGUGUUGGUGUCAUUAAAGGGAGAACACUUGUUGCUAAAAGAGAGAUAACAGAAG